AUUGAACGCUGGCGGCAGGCCUAACACAUGCAAGUCGAACGGUAACAGGAAGAAGCUUGCUUCUUUGCUGACGAGUGGCGGACGGGUGAGUAAUGUCUGGGAAACUGCCUGAUGGAGGGGGAUAACUACUGGAAACGGUAGCUAAUACCGCAUAACGUCGCAAGACCAAAGAGGGGGACCUUCGGGCCUCUUGCCAUCGGAUGUGCCCAGAUGGGAUUAGCUAGUAGGUGGGGUAACGGCUCACCUAGGCGACGAUCCCUAGCUGGUCUGAGAGGAUGACCAGCCACACUGGAACUGAGACACGGUCCAGACUCCUACGGGAGGCAGCAGUGGGGAAUAUUGCACAAUGGGCGCAAGCCUGAUGCAGCCAUGCCGCGUGUAUGAAGAAGGCCUUCGGGUUGUAAAGUACUUUCAGCGGGGAGGAAGGGAGUAAAGUUAAUACCUUUGCUCAUUGACGUUACCCGCAGAAGAAGCACCGGCUAACUCCGUGCCAGCAGCCGCGGUAAUACGGAGGGUGCAAGCGUUAAUCGGAAUUACUGGGCGUAAAGCGCACGCAGGCGGUUUGUUAAGUCAGAUGUGAAAUCCCCGGGCUCAACCUGGGAACUGCAUCUGAUACUGGCAAGCUUGAGUCUCGUAGAGGGGGGUAGAAUUCCAGGUGUAGCGGUGAAAUGCGUAGAGAUCUGGAGGAAUACCGGUGGCGAAGGCGGCCCCCUG
rnacentral:rRNA from 1 species